GUGAAUCAUCAAAUCUUUGAACGCAAAUUGCACUCUCCGGUUUUCCGGGGGAGUAUGCCUGUUUGGGGGUCGGCCUAAAAAAAAUCGGCGUGGUUGCUGUUUUAUGUGGUCUUUCGUCGGAUAUGGGUUAUCUUGAAUUUCGGUUUAAGCGACUUAAAAAUGUUUGUUUCUUUUGUAAGUAUUUUUCUAAGAUUUUUCUUGUUCGUGUAAGGGAUCGAAUGGCUUGUUAGUCCUG
rnacentral:misc_RNA from 1 species